rnacentral:misc_RNA from 1 species
AGUGAUGAGGAUAAAAUGGUUCGAAAAUCCCUUUAUCAACUUCUCAAGUCAGUAAUUUUACCUAGCUGCAAUGAGGUAGUUCUUCAUUUUCUCUACUGCUUGAAAGCUCAUAUUUGUAGUGGUUGUAAAUUGGACACCUUAUAAGGACAGUCUUUAAAUUUGGCUCCGUAAGUUCUGGGUGGUGAACACUUUUAUAUUUUAUUUUAUUUUAUUUUACUUUGCAGUCUUAUCUUCUUUAUUAUAACUUCUUUUAUUGUUUGGGAUAGCAAGUUUCCCAUCUAUCUUUUUAUCACCCAAAGCAUGAGACAACUGUAUUUGAUCAUUCUGUUAAUGUUUGUUUGGUUCUUAUUGAUGGAAAAACAAUUCUAGGAUGUGCUUUGUUUUUGUGUGGGUGUUUCUGUGCUUGAUGUCAGGGACAAUGUUUAAAAUCUUGAACACUUUAUGCACAAAUUGUCAUUUAUGAAUCUUUACAAUGUCCACUUCAUGUAAAAUUAACGAUCAGAAAUAUAUUCAUUCUGUACUACCUACCCUAGGACCAUAAAUUAGUGCUUAUCUCUUUUAUUUAUAGUGUCUUUUUCUUUCAUCUUAAUAUAUUUUAGAAAAAGUCAAGAAAUAUGGGUUCCCUAUUUCUUUCCUCCAAUCUUCUAUUGUGGAUUUUCAAAUACACGUGUCUUGUUUCUUUCCUCUAAUCUUCUAAUACGGAUUUUCCAAAGCACUGGUAGAAAUUUCAAUUGUCUAGUUGUUUGCAGAGUUCAAUAUCCCGGUCAGAAUAGUGUUUGUUGGUAUGUGAAUACAACCUCAAACGAGAAUAAAGAUUUACAGUUUCUUUUCAUUUAUCAUUGAGGAAUAGCUCAUAGAUGAGGAUGAGGAUGUAAUUCAUAGGAUCAAAACAAGUUGGAUGAAAUGGAGGAGUGCGACGGGUGUUCUAUGCAACUAUAGGAUCCCUAACAAAGGCAAGGAAAGUUUUGCAGAAUUGUGGUCAAGCAACCUAUAUUGUAUGAGAGUGAGUGUUGUGCAUCUAAUGUACAACAUACCUACAAAAUGAGUGUGGUAGAGAUGCGGAUGUUCAGAUAAAUAUUUGUUAACACAAUAAUUGAUAAAACUAGGGAUGACAAAGUCGAUAAGAGACAACAUGUAGCACACAUUAGGGAUAAAAUAAGAGAGGUUUGAUUGAGAUGAUAUGUCAUGUCAAUGUAGAGUAUCAAAUGCCUCAGUAUAAAAGUGUGAUAAGUACAGAGAGAAGGGACAUAGGAGACUUGAAAUGACAUGGAGGGAAAUUAUAUCGAAAGAUUUACAAUUUGUGGAUAUUGAUGCGGAGUUGGUUUCUAAGUUCUAACAGAGCUAAAUGACAAAAAGAAUCCAUAUAGUUGACUUCAACUAGUUUAGGACUAAGAUUUAGUUGCUAUUGUGUUGUUGAAUGGUAAAAAGUUUAGGCAUUUCGAUAUGGGUUCCUACUUUUAAUUACUAGUAUCUUUGUUGUUAGAGGGUCAUGGUUAAUAAUUUCUCAGAAAUGAUUCAUUUAAGACACUACCUGAUUAUAUUUUUAUCAGUUUUAUCUUUAUCACUCUAUCCAUCCCUGGUAUUGAUCCUGGUGUUGUUGACUGUGUAACAUCAUGUUCAAUAUAUUCUC